rnacentral:rRNA from 1 species
UCCGGUGGUACAGGAUGGGCCCGCGUCUGAUUAGGUAGUUGGUGGGGCAGCGGCCUACCAAGCCGACGAUCAGUAGCCGACCUGAGAGGGUGACCGGCCACAUUGGGACUGAGACACGGCCCAAACUCCUACGGGAGGCAGCAGUGGGGAAUAUUGCACAAUGGGGGAAACCCUGAUGCAGCGACGCCGCGUGAAGGAAGAAGUAUUUCGGUAUGUAAACUUCUAUCAGCAGGGAAGAAACUGACGGUACCUGACUAAGAAGCACCGGCUAAAUACGUGCCAGCAGCCGCGGUAAUACGUAUGGUGCAAGCGUUAUCCGGAUUUACUGGGUGUAAAGGGAGCGUAGACGGAGAGGCAAGUCUGAAGUGAAAGCCCGGGGCUCAACCCCGGGACUGCUUUGGAAACUGCAGUUCUAGAGUGCCGGAGAGGUAAGCGGAAUUCCUAGUGUAGCGGUGAAAUGCGUAGAUAUUAGGAGGAACACCAGUGGCGAAGGCGGCUUACUGGACGGUGACUGACGUUGAGGCUCGAAAGCGUGGGGAGCAAACAGGAUUAGAUACCCUGGUAGUCCACGCCGUAAACGAUGACUACUAGGUGUCGGUGAGCAAAGCUCAUCGG